rnacentral:rRNA from 1 species
UACGUAGGGUGCGAGCGUUGUCCGGAAUUACUGGGCGUAAAGAGCUCGUAGGUGGUUUGUCGCGUUGUUCGUGAAAACUCACAGCUCAACUGUGGGCGUGCGGGCGAUACGGGCAGACUGGAGUACUGCAGGGGAGACUGGAAUUCCUGGUGUAGCGGUGGAAUGCGCAGAUAUCAGGAGGAACACCGAUGGCGAAGGCAGGUCUCUGGGCAUUAACUGACGCUGAGGAGCGAAAGCAUGGGGAGCGAACAGG